UACGUAGGGGGCAAGCGUUAUCCGGAAUUACUGGGCGUAAAGGGUGCGUAGGUGGCCUGAUAAGUCAGGGGUCAAAGGCAACGGCUCAACCAUUGUAAGCCCUUGAAACUAUCGGGCUUGAAUUCAGGAGAGGAAAGCGGAAUUCCAAGUGUAGCGGUGAAAUGCGUAGAUAUUUGGAGGAACACCAGUGGCGAAAGCGGCUUUCUGGACUGAUACUGACACUGAGGCACAAAAGCGUGGGGAGCAAACAGG
rnacentral:rRNA from 1 species